GGAGACACUCUGGAGGGAGGGCUACCUCACCCAUCCAGAGCACAGGUAACACCAGGAAAGGUUCUCGUGGGUGUCAUGAUUAUUUUUCCUAAUCCUCACACUCCAAUCAAACCCAUUUUACAGAUGAGGAAUGUCUGGCUCAGACUGCGUCCAGCCUCAUGCUACAUCCAGUGCCCAUUCUGCCGGCUCACUCCUCCAGUUGGAGCACAUUAGUGUUGUCCAGUAAGGUCGCUCUUUGCGGGGGUCUCAACCCCAGUCAGACUAAGUUGAAUAGGUCUGUUACUGCUAAGUGGAGGCUUCCAGAGGUGAUUUUAGGCGGUUUUGAGAGAGCAAAAGUAGUUCCACUCUCUCCCUCCUUCUCCUGUUGUCUCCUGGAAAGGGAACUUUCCGGAGAGGGCGGAGAAGGCUCGGUUUCCCCUUUCUGAUCUGUUGUAAUCAAGGCGCUGUCACCAGUUAGUGGCGGUUUACCCCAGACAGAGUCUGACGCAGUUUUGCUAAAGGAAACCACGCAAGUCUCCUAGCUUGGCACGACCCUUCCUUCCGGACAGGCCAGGAUGCCUGGGGGUGGGGAUGGGAACGCACCUCCUACUUGCCCCCUGGCAACCACCAACCAACUGAGCUCACCCGAGGCUUUCCCCAGGUAGCCAGUUUCCUUAUCUGUAAAAUGCAGAUAAAGACAGCCCCACCUAUUUCAGGGUCUUUUUGAAGGCCUUUGGGAGAGAAAACUCCUAAGGUGUUCAGCACAGGGAUUGGCAGCAAGUAAAAGGCAAUCCGACCGCUCCCCGAACCAGAGAGAGGAAGUCACGUGAGUGCAAGGUCACACUGCGGAAGAGGGUAGAGGGGGGAUUCGAACCAGGAUUCCCAGUGCAAGCCCAGACUCCGGCCACUUGCAGGAGCCCCAGCCUACUUUUGAUAAUGCGAUCCUCCCCACCCCUUUCCAUAAUACUUUUCACCGCAGCCUCCCCCCAUCCCCGCCGCGCAGCGCCUGCGCCUGUGCCUUCGCCAGGCGGCCUUCAGGGACCUCGCGGCUGCAGUCCCAAUGAGUCGCCCUCCGCCCUCUCUGGCGACCUGAAUUGCUGGGAAGAAAAACUGCUUCCUCCCCAGUCCAACAACCCAGCUCUGCGUCUACCCAGAACCGCCCGAGGAAAUAUCCUCGGCUCCCCACCUCCCUCUAUCCUCCGCCCCCGACUCUCGGACACAGCUCCAUCGACGCCACGAUGGCCGCGAGAAGUGGGAUCAAGUGCCGCUGGCUUUCCCCGCGGGCAGAACAGAAAGAGAGACGUGUCACACCCGCUAAUCCCCCAACAGGGUCCACUCAGGCGGCCUCUAGUUGGUCUCUUCUGGUGGCGGAGGCGGAACCUCGAGCUCAGUGGCCAAUGAAGAAGCUCGCGGUGGGGGGUGGGAAAUGCUUUUUGGUUGCCAUGGCAACGGGUCUCUGCUUCCAUCUUCCCACUGGGUGGAGCCCGCUUUUCCAAGAACCGCUUUCUCUGGUCCCAGUUCGACUUCAGGGUAGAGUGGGGGUCGGAAGUUGGGGGAAAGGUAGGACACGAACCCUUCACAAAUGCCCAGAGUGUAGAUGAGCCCACCGUGCCCAAGGAUAACAAGAGAAAUAAUAAGAAAGAUAAUAAAAGAAAGCUGCUUAGAGGAGGGACGGUAUGAAUAGGGUUCUGCGAGAAGGGACAAAGAAACCCAAUGUAUUGCAGUGGACUGGACACAGCCCUGCAGGGGCAAGCCACAGGGCUGGACAAAUUUAGGUUGGAAUAAGUGGAGCAGGUGCUUAGCAAGCCGAUUAGGGCUUCCAAGCCAAGACCCACCCAAGGAAGGGUGGGGGACUAAGAUGAGCAGCUACAGCAGAAUUGUUGGUCCUGCAUUGUCCUUCAGUCCCCGGCGGGAGGAGAGAACCUAGGGUCAGCUAGGCCAUUCUCUUGCCUCUAGGCAGCUUGCACUGUGUCUUGGGUAUAGUCACAUCCGGUCUUGGGCAUUCAUUAACUCCACACUCUUCCCAGGAAAGAGGAAGGUGACCAGGUUCAUUGUUCCCAUUUCACAGAUGAGGAAACUGAUGCCUGUCUGGUAAAGUAUCUCACCCUUGGGCCCUAGGGCUUGGCAUUGGCCCAAGCAGGGCUCUCCAGGCCUUUAAUUCCCUGGUGUGGUGGGUUGGCCAAGGACUCCCAUGCCAUAGAUCUGAUGUUGUCCAUCCUUGCUAAUGACCCAGGGAUGUGGGAGCCAACCGAACCCCAUGUUUAAUGAGGUGAGCCAGGACAGAGAACUUUGCUCCUGCCUCUGAUAGCCCUGGGUGGUUGGGGGUGCAGUGCAGCAGGACUCCCAGAUCAGUCACUCUGGGAGGGAGUCCAGUGUCACCCCACACGACUGGUCUCAAAGCCCACAGUCCAGUGGGGAGAGAGACCUGCAGUGAUAUGAUAAAUGCUGGAUAAAUGUGGAUAAAGCUCAAGGACAGGGGUGCCUGAGUCUGCCUAGGGGAACCAGUGGAGACCUCACAGGGCAGACAGUCUUUCAGGUGACACAAAACACAGAAGCCUUUGCUAGGAAGACAAACAAGGGGAGGGCAUCCCAGGCAGAGGGAACAGCAUUUGCAAAGACCUGGAGGCUGAGCAUGGUGUGCUGGGGAAGCUACAGUCUGGGAGUCCAGAGUGGGACUAAGGCCCAGGGCAAGACUGUGUUCCCUGCAGUGGGGUGCUUUCGACCCCUUUCUGAACCAUGAGGCACCACAUUUGCUUUUCUGUAGCUGAUACAUUAAUGGAACCCUAAGAACGACUUGUGAGGAUCCUACUUUGAGAAGCACUGGGCAGAAGCUAACAUGGAUGACCCUCAGGGGCGUUAUGUUGGGAGAAAGAAGCCCGCGACCAAAGAGUCACUCUAUAUGGCUCAGUUGUAUCAAGUUCAAAAAUGGGCAAAACCGAUCUAUGCUAUGAAGGAUAAUGGUUAUCACUGAGAGGUGUAGGAGUUCUUGAAGAGGGUCUUGGGAGAGAUGGUAAUAAUCUUAGUUUCCUGUUGGUUUUACAGAUGUGUUCUCUUUGUGAAAAUUCAUCCAGCUCUUUACUUAAGGUUUGCGUAUUUUUCCAUAUGUAGCGUCUCCUUAAAUUAAAAAUAAAAAACAAAACUCAAGUUGACUGCUUUUCAUAAACAUUAGUGCAAAUGGAGACGCUAAAAUUUUGUGAUCACAUAAUUGGCUGUAAGCCAAGCAUCCAGAUGAUGUAGAAUCUGUUUAUACUGUCUUUUUUUUUUUUUUUUUUAAGAUUAUUCCAAAAUGAGAACAUAGGCAUCUUAAAGUCUUGUAGAGACAUCUCAAACACCAGAGAACUCUUGUAUAGACACCAGGGUUUGAGAAACUCCAGCUCAAGCAAUGCUCACUGCCGGGGACGCCUGGAUGGCUCAGUCAGUCCAUCACCUUGGCUCAGUGCAUGUCACCAAAAAUUCUCCAGGGAUUUCAUGGUCUGCGGAGGAGAGUGGUAGCAGUUAGCUUGGUGAUCACGUGGCCUGGAGCCUCCGCAAACAAGCCAACCUCCUGGCUGCUGGCCUGCCCACCUCAGCCCCAACCUGUCUCCCUCCUGCACUGUUACUCCCGGAGGCGUUAGCAGAUGGCCUCUAAGCACAGCGUCUGGAGCUGGACCGCUGCCAAGGGGGACACAGGCAGAGGACGGAUAGGCAGACUGUAAGUGAGAUGCCUGCGCAGCCCGAAUGCCUGGGGCUUCCAGGCAGCGGGCUGUACUAGCACCUGAAAGACUGCCUGUGAUUCCACCAGAGGGCGAGUGGUCUCUCCUGCUCCCAGCCUGCUGGCUCCCUCCCAGACCCACUGUGAGGCGGCCCAUCUACCCUGUUCCAUCUCUUCCUGUCAGGAAGGGCAGAGGAAGAGGAUGGGAUCUUGGCUCACCAUGCUCACGUGUUUCUUCGUGAUGUCAGGUGGCCCCCGAAAGACGAAGCUGCUCCACCUGCCAGCUCCCCCAGAUGAAAACAAAAUGGCAACUGGAGUUAUGGAGAAGAAGAGGGCACCUACAUGUGCUUGCUCGUCAGAGAUUACCAAAAACAUAAGCAAGAGCGGUCGCCUCCAGCAGACUGGUAGGCAGGGCCGGAGGGAGGCCUUCACUGUAUACCAGUUCAAAAACUGCCAAUUAAAAAAUUGUAGAUAAAAACA